GUAAAUAGAAGGAUUAGUAAUGUAAGACGCCAAGACCAAACUCCCUUUACUUGUACCUUCUUUUUCAGUUUUUUCCGUUAUUAAUAAAAUGAGCCACCAACUUUAUCAACAACAACAAAAAGCCACUAACCUGGUUCUAUAUUAGCUUUAAAAAAAUAAUGAAGGCGAAUUUUAUGUUUCAUCAGAAAAGAUCUUGUGAGAUUAUCUAUAUAGGGGAUGUCUCUGGAAAUUUCAUGAAGU
rnacentral:misc_RNA from 1 species